rnacentral:rRNA from 1 species
GACGAAGGGGGCUAGCGUUGUUCGGAAUUACUGGGCGUAAAGCGCGUGUAGGCGGUUAUCCAAGUCGGGUGGGAAAGCCUUGAGCUCAACUCAAGAAAUGCACUCGGUACUGGGUGACUAGAGGACCGGAGAGGAUAGUGGAAUUCCCAGUGUAGUGGUGAAAUACGUAGAGAUUGGGAAGAACACCAGUGGCGAAGGCGGCUAUCUGGACGGUUUCUGACGCUAAGACGCGAAAGCGUGGGGAGCAAACAGG